rnacentral:lncRNA from 1 species
GGAUGCGUUUGCUCAGGCUCGCUAAAGCCUCUAUAAUAACUGUUCUGAUAUUUUCCCCUUAUUCCCUCAUAAAAGAUAAGACACAACACAGUCUUCUACAAAAGUAUAAAAAGAGUUUACUCACAUAUCAUUCUGUUCACAAUAGGAUCCCAGAAGGCAGACUUAGCUUAGAAAAGUAACAUACACUUGGAAACUAUUGCAUAAGAAGACAGUCCCUUUGUCCUCUCUUGGCUGGAACCAAGAGAGCAUCUUUGGCUAAGCAGAUGUUGCUUCUUCGAUGCAUGUAGUGAAAGAGAGAGAGAGAUGGCUGCCCUGCCCUGUGCUUUUGUCGUUACCUGCACAGGUGAGGCCACGCCCACCUCUAGUCAAAUGCAGAGGAAGUCUGGCCCAGCCCAGAAGGAAACAGGAAGUUUACCUGCUGGCUGGACAAACAUUCCUCCCCAUGUGUAAACAUGUUCACUCUAGGAAUGUUGUACUUGACUGCUCUUGUGUUUCACAUCCCACAAUAGGGAGGUGGCAAUCUCCCAUCCAUCUGGACUAGGGAACUGCCCCCUGACAGUGCCUCAGUUUUAUCUGGAUUGAGCUUCAAUUUAUUGGCUCUCAUCCAGUCCAUUAUUGAGGCAACACAACGAUCCAGCACUUCCACUGCCACACCUGCAGAUGAAGAGGAGAAGCAGAGCUGUUUGUCGUCAGCAUAUUGCUGACAACGUAAACUCCAGAUGUAUGUAAUGCGAUUAGGAGUCAAAUCUCUCAGAUCAGAAGUCAUGGUUUUAGGGCAAUGACUUUGGGUCAAGGCAGAUUAAGCCCAAGAUAUGAUGUCUGAGUCAGCUUGUUCUGUCUUUCCAAAGGGAUGAUAGUAUGAAAUUGCAUCAAUACAUCUAAGAGGGUGGAAACUUGAUCCCAAGUCUAGCUUUGUUAGACUAAUUAAUUAUUGCUUUUGUGGCAGCUGAUCACAUUAUUCAUAUCUGUGGCAACACUCAUGAUUAAUGAAGCGUUCAUUCUAAAAACUAAACGUAUAUUUAUAUAAAUAUUAACGAACUUGGUACAGUAAUCUUUAACAAUUAUUCUUCCAAAUCUCUACAAUCCCUCCAGCAAAACAACUAAGCGCUUUCUUGGCUGCUCUUUCAAAUAUAAAGCUCCAUUACUAGGUACACAAGUGGGGGGGGGGGAAUAAAUUAAGACCAUGCAGAGUUAUAUGCCAACAUUUAGAUGGCAGAGGAUUGAUUUUCUAUAAGGCCAAAGGCUUUUUAUAAUAAAGUAAAUAAAAUCUACCAUGAACCAUUUUCAAAUGAAAUACGUGAAAUUGCAUGUCUCUAAAUCAUGUAUUGAUCCGAUUUUCAUAAACAUGUUUUUGGUCAAUACUGUGAGUAAUCACUUCUCUGUCUGUUUCAAAAUGCUGAGUAGGCUGGAAUCUGGGGGACAUUUGAGCCUAGAGGAGACUAAUUCUAGGGCUUGUCUGCAUAUGGAGCAAGGCUGCAAUCUAAGCAUACUUACUAAAUGGUAAAUCCCACUGAAUCCAUGGGGAAUUAUUUUCUGAUAAACAUGCUUAAGAUCAGGCUAUAAAUGUGGAAGCGGGUCUUCAGAGUAGUCUUCAUUUAAGAAUCUAGAUUUUAGGGGUGGGGAGAAAUACUGCAAAUGUCGCUGCAAGCCAUGGUUUGAUUAAAUGAAUGAGCCUUGUCUUCAUGCAUUCGCCCCUCCCUCUUUCCCUCCCCUUACACACUUCAUUUGAUUAACAUCUUCCCAGUUUUCAAAAACCCUAGUCCUGUCUUCAGGACCCAGGGCCUCAAAUGCAUAGUGGAAAGGCACGAAGGGGUCCUACAGUUCAUCUCUCCUGGGGGAACCUGCCCCAUCUCAUUGACAAUGAAAACACCAUAAACAUACCCCAGCCAGCCAUAAUGGAGGGGCAGAGCUACCCCUGAAUGUGGCAAACAUAACCAUUGUGCUCUGAGAUGCAUAUACAUUUUAAAACAACCUAGCAGAGUGGCCUGGAAAAGAAAUAUCCUCUGUGGAAAGUGCCAUAUGCAGCAGCGCACACCAAUCCAGAUGCUAUGAACUACACUUAGAGAGCAAGCCUAACUUUCAUCUAGGAAUGGGAGAGCCGCCGCCACAUCCCAAACUCUGAUGCUCGUGCUGGCCAAGGUGGAGGGCAAACAGUUUGGCCCCAUUCUCCCCCUCCCUUGCCUUUUGUGCUAGCCCCUAGCACAGCAAAGGCAUCCAGUUGAAGCCCAUUGCUGGUAGCUGGACCUGCUUAGGAUCCAGCAGAUCUUUGACCAAUCUAGUUUGACUCUUUCUCUGCUGCCUCCAUGCCCCAGAAAUGCUCCAUUGUGUGUGGGUGUUCAGCUGACUUUUGUCAGGUGCAACAGGGACCUCUGGUAUUCCCAAAGUCCCCCAGUGGCAGAGCAUGACAGAGCCCAGCAGAGCUCAACACCUGCACCUGACCCAAACCCACUUCAGCACAGUGGAUUGGUCUGCCCUGUUACACUUCUUGGUGUACAAAAUCCUGACUAUCUAUGGACAAAGACCAAUCAAGGCAGAGGCCUCAAGGGUGGCUAACAAAAUCUGCAGGAAGUGGGAUUUGGUUUAAACACUGCACAUCAAAUAAACAGAAAUGGAGCCUUCAUUAUGCUGACAUGGCAACCAUUCUGAAGAUCAAGACCUCUAUACGUUCACCCUGGGCCUAAAACUUUUCAGCAUAGGCACUUUUUCAUCAGGGAGCAUUAUCUACAUAUCUUUGCAAUAUCAGCAUUCUCAUGGUCCUUUCACCACUUUUGUGCUAAAUCAUUUCUUGACAUUUUAAUAUGUCCCCCUGUUGUGCCAAGGCCCAGUACACAUUUGCAAGAAUGAUUCAGUAGUUGUACAGCUAAGAUUGAGCCAAAGACACACCACACCCCCUCUGUUUCCUAAAAAUAUUACCCCCCUGUGAAACUGGGGCGAUUUCCUGCUGCUUUCUUGGGAGCAGGGGAAAUUUCUCUGACAUUUUCAGGGGGGGAUUACCACUUACUUUACUAGGACUUGCCCAGAAGUCAGCCAGUGGAAAACAUAUUCCCAACAGCUUUAGGAUUUGUGCAGUAUGACAUGCGGGCAAGCCUUCUAGCACUGUGAGAGGUCUGGGACCUUCCUAUGGUUAUGCUAGUGGUGAUGAUAGAAAUAAAGCCUUUGGCAACCUUAUAAGACUGGAUAAAGUAGGUGGCAAGCUUUCCUGGAAAUUACUUUCCCUGUCUAUUCUUUCGAGAGGGUUUCAUUUGGCUCCUACCAAUUCAACAAACAGUCAAAAAUGAAAUUUUCAAAACAACUCAAUGUGAAGCUAUAAGAUGGCGAAUUAUGUUACGCAAUGUGACAUCAUCUGAAAAUGCUCAACAUGUUAGAAGAACUGAGGCUUUAUGUAGUUUUCAGUCAGUUAGUAUUGAAUGUUUUAACCAUAGGUUACAACAGGAGAUAAGAAAGCAAUU